rnacentral:lncRNA from 1 species
CAUUUCCUGGUUUAGAGAAAAACUGAAACACCAAUAUUGUGUGUACAUGUUGCGAUAAACAAUUAUAACAACACAACUCAUUUGUUCUCUUGUUAGUUUGGAAAUACAAGUUGACGUCGGAAAGGAAACUGAAUGCUCUACAACAUUGAAAAAAGUGUUAUAUAUAGUGCUUCUACGUGUAUGUGUGGGACUCUAAAUAACUCCAAACAAGUAUCAGCAGCUAUUACAUCAUGUAUUAGGAGGAUAUGAUCCAGAAUAUAUACAUAUAUAUGAGGAUAAGAUUUACAAAUCUUUAAAGUGUGAAUAUUGUACAAAUGUACAAAAUUGUCACUUACAAUGAGCAGAAUGUCUUACUAACUAUAAUAUUCAAAGACGUGUACCAAAGUUUCCAGCUAUAAUUUUUCCAGAC